rnacentral:rRNA from 1 species
UUCGCCUUCACGAAGUCGGAAUUGCUGUAAUGGCAGGUCAGCAUACUGCCGUGAAUACGUUCCCGGGCCCUUGUACACACCGCCCGUCACACCAUGAGAGUUAGGAAUACCCGAAGCCUGUGAGCUAACUUUAAUAGAGGCAGCAGUCGAAGGUAGAACUAAUGAUUGGGGUGGAAGUCGUAACAAGGUAUC